AGCGAACGCUGGCGGCAGGCCUAACACAUGCAAGUCGAACGAACUCUUCGGAGUUAGUGGCGGACGGGUGCGUAACACGUGGGAACGUGCCUUUUGGUUCGGAAUAACUCAGGGAAACUUGUGCUAAUACCGAAUGUGCCCUUCGGGGGAAAGAUUUAUCGCCAUUAGAGCGGCCCGCGUCUGAUUAGCUAGUUGGUGAGGUAACGGCUCACCAAGGCGACGAUCAGUAGCUGGUCUGAGAGGAUGACCAGCCACACUGGGACUGAGACACGGCCCAGACUACUACGGGAGGCAGAAGUGGGGAAUCUUGCGCAAUGGGCGAAAGCCUGACGAAGCCAUGCCGCGUGAAUGAUGAAGGUCUUAGGAUUGUAAAAUUCUUUCACCGGGGACGAUAAUGACGGUACCCGGAGAAGAAGCCCCGGCUAACUUCGUG
rnacentral:rRNA from 1 species